rnacentral:rRNA from 1 species
AUCUAUUUACUGUGAAACGUAUUAUUACUUGACGCCUGAGGGAUGUUCCACUGCUAUAAGGAUAGGCAGCGGAAAUGUUAACCGAGUCAUAAUCAAGCUUAGGCUUGGUAUCCUAUUAUUAUUUACCAAAAGAAUUCAGAAUUAAUAUUGUAACAUAGACGUAAAAAAUCUAUAAAACAACUUUUAACAACGGAUCUCUUGGUUCUCGCAUCGAUGAAGAACGUAGCAAAGUGCGAUAACUAGUGUGAAUUGCAUAUUCAGUGAAUCAUCGAGUCUUUGAACGCAACUUGCGCUCAUUGGUAUUCCAAUGAGCACGCCUGUUUCAGUAUCAAAACAAACCCUCUAUCCAACUUUUGUUGAAUAGGAUGACUGAGAGUCUCUUGAUCGUCAGAUCUCGAACCUCUUGAAAUGUACAAAGGCCUGAUCUUGUUUGAUGCCUGAACUUUUUUUUAAUAUAAAGAGAAGCUCUUGCGGUAAACUGUGCUGGGGCCUCCCAAAUAACACUUUUUUAAAUU